rnacentral:rRNA from 1 species
UACGAAGGGGGCUAGCGUUGCUCGGAAUCACUGGGCGUAAAGCGCACGUAGGCGGAUUGCUAAGUCAGGGGUGAAAUCCUGGAGCUCAACUCCAGAACUGCCCUUGAUACUGGCGGUCUCGAGUUCGGGAGAGGUGAGUGGAACUGCGAGUGUAGAGGUGAAAUUCGUAGAUAUUCGCAAGAACACCAGUGGCGAAGGCGGCUCACUGGCCCGAUACUGACGCUGAGGCACGGAAAAGCGUGGG